GUUUUAUUUUGUUUUAUCUUUUCUUUUAAAAUUUAGAAAAAAAAUAUUUCCAAGAUUCCUUUCCCAUUACUCACGUUCUCAAAUUUUUCUCACUUUCCCAUUCGUUUGCUUCAUGUUUGCUCCAAUAGAGAAAUUUCACAAAAAAAUUGUUCUUCUUUCUUCUUUUUUCUACUUGAAAACUUCUUUACUUUCUUGUUUAUGGUUCAUUGGGUUAUUCAAUUUUGGUGAUUGAGUUGUUUGCAACUCCGUUUCGUGUAAGUAAUGUUUCUUUUAUUAUUUAGUAUUUCUUUCUUCUUUUGUUAUGGGGGUGUUCAUUUCCUUAUCUUUUGUUCAAGAAGGGGUGUCUGUGUGACGCGUUAUUCCGUAUUAAUUGUUUGAGGUCUUCUAGAUGACAUUCAUGAGAUGAUUGCUCCUCUGGAAAAUUACGUUUUGUGGUGUUUGGCUAUUUUGUUGGGGGUAUUGGAUUGCUUAAUUCUUAAAAUUACAUCAGAAUCAGUCAAGGUGUGUAAUGAAAACCCGAAAAAAUAGUGAAUGAUGAAAGCCAAAAAAGGAGAUUGUCGAUGCCAUAUGGCCGUGUACCAAGCCAUGUGGUAGGCCAUGUGUGACACACGGCUGUGUACUAAAUUAUGCAAGACACACGAUUUGGGCUAAUUGGGCCGUGUGGGCCACAUAGGCGUAUGGGUCAAACAGGCGUGUGUGAUAUCGUGUGGGCCCAAAAUCCUGAAUUUUUUCGUAGGGCCCAUAUAUUAUAAUUAAGCUAUAAAAAUGUGAUUCCUAAAAAAUUGUUAAGCAUAAAACUUGAUAUAAGUACGAUCAAAGUAUGUGUAUUUAUCAUGUAGCAUAAAAAGUAUAGUUUGUAAAACAUUAUGAGGAUUCUGUAAUAUGAUAUGACUGAUCUAUCUAUGCUAUAUGAGAAUGUAUAAUAUA